rnacentral:rRNA from 1 species
UGGGGAAUAUUGGGCAAUGGGCGCAAGCCUGACCCAGCAACGCCGCGUGAAGGAAGAAGGCUUUCGGGUUGUAAACUUCUUUUAAGAGGGAAGAGGAGAAGACGGUACCUCUUGAAUAAGCCACGGCUAACUACGUGCC